rnacentral:rRNA from 1 species
GAUGAACGCUGACAGAAUGCUUAACACAUGCAAGUCAACUUGAAUUUGGGUUUUUAACUUAGGUUUGGGUGGCGGACGGGUGAGUAACGCGUAAAGAACUUGCCUCACAGCUAGGGACAACAUUUGGAAACGAAUGCUAAUACCUAAUAUUAUGAUAAUAGGGCAUCCUAUAAUUAUGAAAGCUAUAAGCGCUGUGAGAGAGCUUUGCGUCCCAUUAGCUAGUUGGAGAGGUAACGGCUCACCAAGGCGAUGAUGGGUAGCCGGCCUGAGAGGGUGAUCGGCCACAAGGGGACUGAGACACGGCCCUUACUCCUACGGGAGGCAGCAGUGGGGAAUAUUGGACAAUGGACCAAGAGUCUGAUCCAGCAAUUCUGUGUGCACGAUGAAGUUUUUCGGAAUGUAAAGUGCUUUCAGUUGGGAAGAAAGAAAUGACGGUACCAACAGAAGAAGUGACGGCUAAAUACGUGCCAGCAGCCGCGGUAAUACGUAUGUCACGAGCGUUAUCCGGAUUUAUUGGGCGUAAAGCGCGUCUAGGUGGUUAUGUAAGUCUGAUGUGAAAAUGCAGGGCUCAACUCUGUAUUGCGUUGGAAACUGUAUAACUAGAGUACUGGAGAGGUAAGCGGAACUACAAGUGUAGAGGUGAAAUUCGUAGAUAUUUGUAGGAAUGCCGAUGGGGGAAGCCAGCUUACUGGACAGAUACUGACGCUGAAGCGCGAAAGCGUGGGUAGCAAACAGG